GUUGGUCCUGAUCCCUCAAGAGAUGUCACGAAAUACGUGUUUUAUUGCCUCCUCUUAAGUAGUUAUCACGUUUUGAUGAUAACUCCCAAUGUUUUAUCAGUAGAGAAACGAUGGAAGUGUGUGGCUUCAGCUUUUUAGCAUGUAUUCAAAGUUUAAUAUUUUGGUUCUCAUGCAGGAACCUGAGAACCAACACAGCCUUUGAACCGUGUUUGUCUUUUAUAUAUUACCCUUGCCCUUAUGCAUCAAUAUUGCCUGUUUUCUUCCCCUAAACAGCAUCACCUUCUUCUCUGCUCUCCCCACCACUGGUUUAGAGGGUACAAAUGUUAAUUAGAAAAUAAUACAUCAAAAUAAAAUAAUUUUUUUUUUACCAAAAACAGGCUUGAUGAAUGACUUGACUCAAAAUUGUUAGCACUGAAUUAUUCGAGCUGAAAGUUUCUGCUUUACCUUGUUCCACUCACUUAUUCACCCAGAGUGUAUUAAUCUCCUGUGAAGUGCCAGGUACUGAGAGGUGCACGAAUAUAACGGCAAUAUAUCUCCUCCCUACAGUGGGGAACUUUGUAAAAAUACACAUGACCUCUCUUCUUUCUUCUUUCCUCCUUACUUUCCUGUGUUCUGUUAGUCUUUAGGAUGGGGCAGGAAGUGCCGGGAAGGUGAAUCUGUAUAUACAAAGAGGUUUCUAAAUGAUCCACUCACCUCCUCUCCAACCACCAUUAAGAACUGCUCUCAGUGGUUUACAAUAUGAAGGAGGCAGACGAGAUAAAUAAAUGAUUACACCCUCCAGGUGAAAUACUAAUCGGGUUCAACUUAUAGCCACGCUCUGGUGCCCUCAAGAAGUUUGUUUAGAGGGCAAAAGUAGAAGGUAUCUAUAAAAAACCUGUGUCUUUGGAUUUUGUUUGCUAGAAGCUUGAGUUCUUUGAGGAGAAGGAGGUGGGAACGUGGACGUUCCUUGAGGCUGGGGUGGGCCUGGAACCCAUCUGCUUCCCAACUGGGAGGGGGAAAGUCCUCAGAGGGCAAGGCCCUCAAGAUAGGCCCCAGAGGUGAGCUGGUGGCCUCUGGUUUCCAGCCUCAGGCAAGAUUUUCUUCUGUUACCUGUGGCAGAAGAGCAGCAGCUGCGGGGGCCUCAUGUGAACUUGGACAAGGGACAUCUCUGCACCACGCUAUUCAGAAAGAAGCCCAGAGGAGUCUUCCAGAUGUGCUGACCCUGGGCUUCUGCACCACUGCAACACCUGUAUGGAGCACGGUAUACCUCCGCAUCCUUGAAGGAAAAUCCCUUGCUCUCUUAUUUCUCUGA
rnacentral:lncRNA from 1 species